CCAGCCAUGCCGCGUGCAGGAAGAAGGCCUUCUGGGUUGUAACUGCUUUUGCCGGGGGAUAAAAAUCCCAUGCGUGGGAUAUUGAAGGUACCCGGUGAAUAAGCCACGGCUAACUACGUGCCAGCAGCCGCGGUAAUACGUAGGUGGCAAGCGUUGUCCGGAUUUAUUGGGUUUAAAGGGUGCGUAGGCGGCCUAUUAAGUCAGUGCUGAAAUAUCCCGGCUUAACCGGGAGGGUGGCAUUGAUACUGAUGGGCUUGAGUGGAGUCGAGGUAGGCGGAAUUGACGGUGUAGCGGUGAAAUGCUUAGAUAUCGUCAAGAACACCGAUAGUGUAGACAGCUUACUAGACUUCAACUGACGCUGAGGCACGAAAGUGUGGGGAUCAAACAGGAUUAGAUACCCUGGUAGUCCACACUGUAAACGUUGAUUACUCGCUGUGUGCGAUAUACAGUACGCGGCUUAGCGAAAGCGAUAAGUAAUCCACCUGGGGAGUACGCCGGCAACGGUGAA
rnacentral:rRNA from 1 species